UACGUAGGGUCCGAGCGUUGUCCGGAAUUACUGGGCGUAAAGAGCUCGUAGGCGGUCUGUCGCGUCGGCUGUGAAAACCCGGGGCUCAACCCCGGGCCUGCAGUCGAUACGGGCAGACUAGAGUGCGGUAGGGGAGACUGGAAUUCCUGGUGUAGCGGUGAAAUGCGCAGAUAUCAGGAGGAACACCGGUGGCGAAGGCGGGUCUCUGGGCCGAUACUGACGCUGAGGAGCGAAAGCGUGGGGAGCGAACAGG
rnacentral:rRNA from 1 species